rnacentral:tRNA from 1 species
AAAGAGUCCUCCAUAAAAAGCUUCUAACUUUUUAAAAAGCAUUAACUUGUUUAG